CCUACGGGAGGCUGCAGUGAGGAAUAUUGGUCAAUGGCCGAGAGGCUGAACCAGCCAAGUCGCGUGAGGGAAGAAUGUCCUAUGGAUUGUAAACCUCUUUUGUCAGGGAGCAAAGUCACUUACGUGUGGGUGUUGGAGUGUACCUGAAGAAUAAGCAUCGGCUAAUUCCGUGCCAGCAGCCGCGGUAAUACGGAGGAUCCGAGCGUUAUCCGGAUUUAUUGGGUUUAAAGGGUGCGUAGGCGGGUUAUCAAGUCAGCGGUAAAAUCGUGGGGCUCAACCCCGUCCAGCAGUUGAAACUGACGUGCUUGAGUGCGCGAGAAGGAUGCGGAAUGCGUGGUGUAGCGGUGAAAUGCAUAGAUAUCACGAAGAACCCCGAUUGCGAAGGCAGCAUACCGGAGCCCGACUGACGCUGAAGCUCGAAAGCGUGGGUAUCGAACAGGAUUAGAUACCCGUGUAGUC
rnacentral:rRNA from 1 species